GGGCCCAACCUCCCACCCGUGUAAACCGUACCUGGUUGCUUCGGGCGGAGCCCGCCCCCCUUCCUUAGGGGGGGCACAGCGCUCGCCGGAGACACCAACGGUGAACACUGUCUGAAGGUUUGUCGUCUGAGUCGAUUGUAUCGCAAUCAGUUAAAACUUUCAACAAUGGAUCUCUUGGUUUCCGGCAUCGAUGAAGAACGCAGCGAAAUGCGAUAAUUAAUGGUGAAAUUGCAGAAUUCAGUGGAAUCAUCGAGUCUUUGAACGCACAUUGCACCCCCUGGUAUUCCGGGGGGUAUGCCUGUCCGAGCGUCAUUGCUUGCCCUCAAGCACGGCUUGUGGUGUUGGGGUCGUCGUCCCCCCCGGGGGACGGGCCCGAAAGGGCAGCGGCGGCACCGCGUCCGGUCCUCGAGCGUAUGGGGCUUUGUCACCCGCUCUUGUAGGCCCGGCCGGCUGCUGGCCGACGCUGGAAAAGCAACCAAUCUAUUUCAUCAGG
rnacentral:rRNA from 1 species